rnacentral:misc_RNA from 1 species
UGUCUGCUAAAGAUGAGUCAAAUCACAGGCCGGGGAAUAAUGAUGGGAAAGGCAAGCAGCGGAAGAAAACCUCAAAGUUUCACAGAGUUCGCUUAGGUGAUGGAUCUGUUGAAACACUUUUAAAUCUCAAUAGUUCAAACCCUGAUCUGGAUCCGAACCCAGAUCAAAAGGAGACAUCAGAUGACCAAGGUAACCCUGAAAGUUUGCCUGUGCGUGGUGUUUGGCGAAAUGGAGGUGGUCAAAAGCUUGUAGCUAUGACUUCCAAAGGUCCAAAAAAGUGAUGCAGCAGUAGGAGGUAGAGGACAACAGGACAGUGUUUUGGCUUGUAGAGAGGGAGGUUUGAUUUUCCUCUUUCCUCUGGACAUAAUUCUUUGGCACCGGUUUUUGUAGCAACUUCAACAUGAACUGUGGCUUAUCCAUGAUCUUGAAAAGGUUUGAUUUCAAGUAUUUAUGGUUUUCAAAACAAAGCAGUUCUGCAAUUAUAGGCUCUGUUGUUUUUGUUUCUUUCUGCUAUUGAUAGCUCUCAAUUCUGCCUUAACUAUAUGCUAGUGGCACAGAUAGACAACUUCCUUCAAAGAUGGGGUUUUAAAACUGUAUAUUGAUAAUACUGA